rnacentral:lncRNA from 1 species
GUCCCCUCGUUGGCUGGCCGACCGGCGGCGCAACCGGCAUGGGACGGCCGUCGGCAGGAGAGGAGACGAUCCAGCGGCAAGAGGAGGCCAAACCAGUGGUCGGCGGUAACCACCGGCGUCGGAAUCAAAGGGAAACGGUCAAAAAAUGAAGGUUACAUCCGCAACAAAAUCCGGCGACUUUGGUCGCCGGCGAGCAUGCACAUCGGCACAGAAAGGAAGGGAGA